CCGAAGUUUCCCUCAGGAUAGCUGGAGCUCGGACGCGAGUUCUAUCGGGUAAAGCCAAUGAUUAGAGGCAUUGGGGGCGCAACGCCCUCGACCUAUUCUCAAACUUUAAAUAGGUAGGACGUGUCGGCUGCUUUGUUGAGCCGUCACACGGAAUCGAGAGCUCCAAGUGGGCCAUUUUUGGUAAGCAGAACUGGCGAUGCGGGAUGAACCGGAAGCCGGGUUACGGUGCCCAACUGCGCGCUAACCUAGAACCCACAAAGGGUGUUGGUCGAUUAAGACAGCAGGACGGUGGUCAUGGAAGUCGAAAUCCGCUAAGGAGUGUGUAACAACUCACCUGCCGAAUCAACUAGCCCCGAAAAUGGAUGGCGCUUAAGCGCGCGACCUAUACCCGGCCGUCGGGGCAAGAGCCAGGCCUC